rnacentral:rRNA from 1 species
UACGAGAGGCGCAAACGUUAUUCGGAAUUACUGGGCUUAAAGAGUUCGUAGGCGGCGCGGUAUGUCGUGCGUGAAAUCUCCCGGCUUAACUGGGAGGGGCCGUGCGAAACUGCCGGGCUUGAGGUCGGAAGGGGAAAGUGGAAUUCCGGGUGUAGUGGUGGAAUACGUAGAUAUCCGGAGGAACACCAGCGGCGAAGGCGGCUUUCUGGUCCGAUACUGACGCUGAGGUGCGAAAGCGUGGGGAGCGAUCCGG